rnacentral:rRNA from 1 species
UGAACGCUGGCGGUAGGCCUACCACAUGCACGUCGAACGGCAGCACAGUAAGAGCUUGCUCUUACGGGUGGCGAGUGGCGGACGGGUGAGGAAUACAUCGGAAUCUACUUUUUCGUGGGGGAUAACGUAGGGAAACUUACGCUAAUACCGCAUACGACCUACGGGUGAAAGCAGGGGAUCUUCGGACCUUGCGCGAUUGAAUGAGCCGAUGUCGGAUUAGCUAGUUGGCGGGGUAAAGGCCCACCAAGGCGACGAUCCGUAGCUGGUCUGAGAGGAUGAUCAGCCACACUGGAACUGAGACACGGUCCAGACUCCUACGGGAGGCAGCAGUGGGGAAUAUUGGACAAUGGGCGCAAGCCUGAUCCAGCCAUACCGCGUGGGUGAAGAGGGCCUUCGGGUUGUAAAGCCCUUUUGUUGGGAAAGAAAAGCAGCAGGUUAAUACCCCGCUGUUCUGACGGUACCCAAAGAAUAAGCACCGGCUAACUUCGUG